rnacentral:tmRNA from 1 species
GGGGGUGCACUGGUUUCGACAGGGACCUAGAAAGUGACAGAUGCGUGUCGAGGUUGAUCACCAGGCCUCGUAAAAAGGGGAUCAAAUUUUAUUUGGCGAACAAAACUUCGCUAUGGCAGCCUAGUCUAGUACUACGCUUACAUUGAGGGGCCGACUCCAAUAACAACAAAUCGGUAAAGUGAGUUGUGUGUCUCACGAUAAUCAAAAUGUUCAGGACUGGUCGGUGGCGUCCUUAACCAACUACCGAGGUUUUGCGAACUUUCACAAAAAUUCGAAAGAGCGUUUGCCUCUCUGUAAACUACACACGUAGUAUCUUCACCGGAAAGAUCUUUGGACGCGGGUUCGAUUCCCGCCACCUCCACCA